AGUGUUCCGUGUUCAGUGUUCAGUGUGUUCCGUGUGUCCCGUGUUCCGUGUUCCGUGUUCAGUGUCCAGUGUUCAGUGUUCAGUGUUCCGUGUUUAGUGUUCCGUGUUCUGUGUUCAUUGUUCACAGUGUCCAGUGUUCAGUGUUCAGGAUUUUACUGAAGGUUUCGUGGCUCGACAGUCUGGCUUCACUCAGGCGGCUUUCAUGUUCAAACAGGAGACGCCAUGAGAGUGAGAUGUUCAGGUGUGUUAAACACGCUACCAUGACAGAGAUGUUCAGGUGUGUUAAACACGCUACCAUGACAGAGAUGUUCAGGUGUGUUUGACACGCCAACAUAAGCCACCGUGAGAGAGAUGUUCAGGUGUGUUUCAUAAGCCACCAUGACAGAGAUGUUCAGGUGUGGUAAACACGCCACCGUGAGAGAGAUGUUCAGGUGUGUUUCAUAAGCCACCAUGACAGAGAUGUUCAGGUGUGGUAAACACGCCACCGUGAGAGAGAUGUUCAGGUGUGUUCGACACAAACAUAAGCCAACAUGAGAGAGGUGUUCAGGUGUGUUUCAUAAGCCACUGUGAGAGAGAUGUUCAGGUGUGGUAAACACGCUUACAUGAGAGUGAUAUUCAGGUGUGUUUCAUAAGCCACCAUGAGAGAGGUGUUCAGGUGUGUUAAACACGCCACCAUGAGAGAGGUGUUCAGGUGUGUUUCAUAAGCCACCGUGAGAGAGGUGUUCAGGUGUGUUUCAUAAGCCACCAUGACAGAGGUGUUCAGGUGUGUUAAACACGCUACCAUGAGAGAGAUGUUCAGGUGCCUUUGGUACACAAACGAAAGACGCUGUGAGAACCAUACUGCUCCAGUCCCAGCGGAUGUGGCCUAAAUGAUGUUUUUAUGGUUUCGGCUGAUUUUAGCACAGCCUGACCUCAUGUGUUUGUGUCUAAUAUGGCCGUCGUUUGCACAGCGUUAGCCCAGAAUUAGCCUUCCUCUUUAAAUGCCAUGGUAGUUUCCAAAUCUCUUUUAUAAACACUUCUGUUGUAUGUUUACGUCAGUUGUCACGUCAGAUGGCAGUUGCUAUGUCAGAAUCA
ensembl:lncRNA